rnacentral:rRNA from 1 species
CGAUGAAGGACGGGACGAACACCGAUAUGCUUCGGGGAGCUGUAAGCAGGCUUUGAUCCGGAGAUUUCUGAACGGGGAAACCC